rnacentral:rRNA from 1 species
CCUACGGGAGGCAGCAGUAGGGAAUAUUGGUCAAUGGACGCAAGUCUGAACCAGCCAUGCCGUGUGCAGGAUGACGGUCCUAUGGAUUGUAAACUGCUUUUGUACAGGAAGAAACACUCCCUCGUGAGGGAGCUUGACGGUACUGUAAGAAUAAGGAUCGGCUAACUCCGUG